rnacentral:rRNA from 1 species
UACGUAGGGGGCGAGCGUUGUCCGGAUUCAUUGGGCGUAAAGAGCUCGUAGGCGGCUUGGCAAGUCGGAUGUGAAAACUCCAGGCUCAACCUGGAGCCGCCAUUCGAUACUGCUAUGGCUAGAGUCCGGUAGGGGAGUGUGGAAUUCCCGGUGUAGCGGUGAAAUGCGCAGAUAUCGGGAGGAACACCGAUGGCGAAGGCAGGUCUCUGGGCAUUAACUGACGCUGAGGAGCGAAAGCAUGGGGAGCGAACAGG